GACAGAGGGUGCAAACGUUGUUCGGAAUUACUGGGCGUAAAGCGCGUGUAAGCGGCUCUGCAAGUCAGGUGUGUAAUCCCACGGCUCAACCAUGGAAGUGCACUUGAAACUGCAGGGCUAGAGUCCUGGAGAGGAAGGUGGAAUGCUUGGUGUAGAGGUGAAAUUCGUAGAUAUCAAGCGGAACACCGGUGGCGAAGGCGGCCUUCUGGACAGUGACUGACGCUGAGACGCGAAAGCGUGGGGAGCAAACAGG
rnacentral:rRNA from 1 species